rnacentral:lncRNA from 1 species
UGUUUUUCUAUGUUGUGAUGUUAUGCUAUUGUUUCAGAAAAAGGGAGAAGGUUUGGAUCCAUUAAAACGUUUAAUCCCGCUGCAAAUGUUUGCACCUGUCCUAAGUCAGGAAUCUGAUGUACAGUAGUUGUCGUUUGUUUAUGUAAUUUAUACGUGUUUUUCGUUUCUCGUUUUUUUUAAAUUUUUUAUAUAGAUUAGACCGUUGGCUUUCCCGUUUGAAUGGUUUUACACUAGUAAUUUUGGGGCCCUUUAUAGCUUGUUGUUCGGUGUGAGCCAAGGCUCCGUGUUGAAGGCCGUACAUUGACCUAUAAUGGUUUACUUUUUUUUAAAAUUGUUAUUUGGAUGGAGAGUUGUCUCAUUGGCACUCACACCACAUCUUCCUAUAUCUAUCUAUACAAAAACAGAAUGGAUUGCUACGAGGGAGUGUUACUAGCUAUCUCAAACCAGGUUACAUCCACACAAAUCACAAAUACAGGUACCGAUCAAGACCUCGAUACAAAUUGUGGGCAAAAAUAUCUUAUGAAGGUAAAAAAUCACUUUACCUAUGCACUUACUAUCGACCACCAUCAGAUAAAGGAGAAUUCUUAGAACAACUUGAGUAUCUCACUCAACAGAGUUCUAUGCAAGAAAACAAACUCAAAUAUCUGGGUAAGUGGCGAUUUCAACCUUGGCCACAUAGACUGGAACACACCAGCAGUCAUACCUAGUAAAUCUGAUGCAUCACUACACCAACAACUCCUCGAUAUAUUAAAUGACAACAAUUUAACACAGGUCAUAAACAAGAACACCAGAAACGACACAACCCUAGACCUUUUGUGUAUGACCAAUCCAUCAUUUGUUAAUAGAGUCGAAACAUUACCACCAAUCGGAGCAAGUGAUCAUGACAUUGUCUACAGUGAAAUAAACUUAACUCUGCCACAAAAUAAACAACAGGCUCAUAAAGUACUUCACUACAAAAAGGCAAAUUGGGAGCAAAUAGAAAAAGAUCUCACUGAAACAUACAAACAACUUAAACAAGAUCAAGAUAAAUUAAAUCUCGAUGAACUUUGGAACACGUUCAAAACCAACAUCCAAAAAUCUAUUACCAAGAAUAUUCCAACAAAAAGCAUUGGUAACAAAUCGAAACUACCUUGGGUAAAUAACCAACUUAAAAAGCUCAUCAACAAGAAAAACAAAUUAUACAAAAAGAAAAAGAAAAAUCCCAAGUAUAAAAAACAAUACCAAGAAAUUAAAACCAAGCUCCAGAAAGAAAUGAGAAACUCGUACUGGCAAUACAUAGAAAAUAUGAUUUUCGAUAUUGAAAUAAAGGAGCCAGAUCAACCAUGCUUCAAUAAUACACCUAAAAAACUGUACACCUACAUUAAAAGCCAGAAAAACGAAAACACCGGCAUAGCUCCUCUGCGAAGUGAAGGUACACUGCACUCAAGUCCAUCUGAGAAAGCAAAUAUACUUAACAAACAAUUUCAGUCUGCUUUUACAUCUGAAGCAAACACUAACAUUCCAGACAAAGGUCCUAGUAAACACCCUAUAAUGGAAACCCAUUAGAAUAUCUAGGGAUGGUGUUUACAAACUAAUCAAAAACAUAAACCCGAAUAAAGCAACUGGUCCUGACACCAUCGCAGGCAAAGUACUAAAACAAAACAUCGAAAUAUGUACAGAUAUCCUCACUUUAAUAUUUACAAGAUCACUACAAACAGGCAAAGUACCAUCUGACUGGAACCACGCAAAUGUCACACCUGUAUUCAAAAAAGGGGAUAAACACAACCCAGGCAACUAUAGGCCUAUAUCCUUAACAUGCAUAGCUUGCAAACUACUCGAACAUAUCUUUGCAAGCAGCAUGAUGAAUCACUUAGAAACAAACAACACUCUAUAUGAAUUACAACAUGGAUUUAGGGCAAAACGAUCAUGUGAAUCCCAAGUCAUCUCACUGAUACAUGAAUUAUUCCAAAACAACGACAAGAACAUACAAACAGAUCUUAUAAUCAUGGAUUUUGCUAAAGCUUUUGACAAGGUACCACACAAAAGAUUACUAUACAAAAUGAAAUACUUUUGGCAUAUCAGAUCAAAUCAUUAACUGGGUAGAAUCCUUUCUUUCAAACAGAACGCAAACAGUACUUUUAGAAAACAUGUCAUCUUCAAAAAUACCAG